rnacentral:tRNA from 1 species
GGAUAAAGCUCAGUGGCAGAGCACUUGCCUAGAAUGCACAAGGCCCUGAGUUCAAUCCCCAGAACCA